CCUACGGGAGGCAGCAGUGGGGAAUAUUGGGCAAUGGGCGCAAGCCUGACCCAGCAACGCCGCGUGAAGGAAGAAGGCUUUCGGGUUGUAAACUUCUUUUGUCAGGGACGAAGCAAGUGACGGUACCUGACGAAUAAGCCACGGCUAACUACGUGCCAGCAGCCGCGGUAAUACGUAGGUGGCAAGCGUUAUCCGGAUUUAUUGGGUGUAAAGGGCGUGUAGGCGGGAAUGCAAGUCAGAUGUGAAAACUAUGGGCUCAACCCAUAGCCUGCAUUUGAAACUGUAUUUCUAGAGUGCUGGAGAGGUAAGCGGAAUUCCUAGUGUAGCGGUGAAAUGCGUAGAUAUUAGGAGGAACACCAGUGGCGAAGGCGGCUUACUGGACAGUAACUGACGUUGAGGCUCGAAAGCGUGGGGAGCAAACAGGAUUAGAUACCCGGGUAGUC
rnacentral:rRNA from 1 species